rnacentral:rRNA from 1 species
UUCCACGGAUCGUUCGAGAGCAGGAUUGGUGAGUUCGGGAACUGUGAGACAGGUGAUGCAUGGCUGUCGUCAGCUCGUGCUGUGAAAUGUUGGGUUAAGUCCCGCAACGAGCGCAACCCUUAUCCUUUGUUGCCAGCGGUUAGGCCGGGAACUCAAAGGAGACUGCCAGUGAUAAACUGGAGGAAGGUGGGGAUGACGUCAAGUCAUCAUGGCCCUUACGACCAGGGCUACACACGUGCUACAAUGGCGCAUACAAAGAGAAGCAAACUCGCGAGAGCAAGCGGACCUCAUAAAGUGCGUCGUAGUCCGGAUUGGAGUCUGCAACUCGACUCCAUGAAGUCGGAAUCGCUAGUAAUCGUGAAUCAGAAUGUCACGGUGAAUACGUUCCCGGGCCUUGUACACACCGCCCGUCACACCAUGGGAGUGGGUUGCAAAAGAAGUAGGUAGCUAACCUCUGGGAGGGCGCUACCAGCUGGC